rnacentral:rRNA from 1 species
UCCGUAGGUCGAAAAUUAAGUCAGAGGUGAAAUCCUGCAGCUCAACUGUAGAAUUGCCUUUGAUACUGGUUAUCUUGAGUCAUUAUGAAGUGGUUAGAAUGUGUAGUGUAGCGGUGAAAUGCAUAGAUAUUACACAGAAUACCGAUUGCGAAGGCAGAUCACUAAUAAUGUACUGACACUGAGGGACGAAAGCGUGGUGAGCGAACAGGAUUAGAUACCCUGGUAGUCC